rnacentral:rRNA from 1 species
UACAGAGGGGGCAAGCGUUGUUCGGAAUUACUGGGCGUAAAGGGCGCGUAGGCGGCCUUCUAAGUCGAACGUGAAAUCCCCGGGCUCAACCUGGGAACUGCAUCCGAUACUGGAUGGCUUGAAUUCGGGAGAGGGAUGCAGAAUUCCAGGUGUAGCGGUGAAAUGCGUAGAUAUCUGGAGGAAUACCGGUGGCGAAGGCGGCAUCCUGGACCGAGAUUGACGCUGAUGAGCGAAAGCUAGGGGAGCAAACGGG